UUCAUUUUCUAUUUUCUGUGUAUUUAGUCUUUUAGUAUGGUUGAGCACCACUAGGUGGCACUGUGGCGAAACUAAAAAGCUUUGUGUGCAGAGUUAAUUAGGUCAGAAGAAGCGACAUCUAGAAGAGAAGACAUAUGUGAAAAGGUGUAAAAAUAAGGAGAAAUAAGUUCCCUAAGAAGAGACAAGAAGACCAAUGCUAAUUCUUCUCACGGUACUCAGCCAACGAGGUCACACUUCAGAUCCAGAAGGUGGGCAGGGAGGAUGUACAGGGAUGUGAAAAGAUCCACAUCAUGUUUAACAAAGACAAGAGCCAUUUGUGUGUUUACCGUCUCCAUUGUGAAGAGUCAUUUUUAACAGUGGACGGCAGGAGAUGCUGAUUUACAACACAGCAGCUCUAUGUCAGUAAAACCAGGCCAGUGUGGACUCUGGUCUCAUCUCUCUGGGAGGAAAACCGGGAAAGUCAGGCUGGGUCAACCUGCCAGUUCAGUCGCCUCAGAAAAUGAAGAAAAAAGAUGUGGCGUUAUGAGUGUACAUUUACACCUCACAGUGACUGGGUGGAUGAUUUGACUUUGGUUUGUUAGCAGAGGGCAGCUGGUUUUCAUGCACUGAGCUGAGUUUUUCUGCGGCCGCACUGAUACUCGAAUCAAUACUUUGGUAUCCGAUCCGGUCGUCAUAAAUCACUAAACCACUGUGCUGAUACAAAACAUGCAUUUUGUUGUCACUUCUGAGAUUUUUAGGCAAUAAAAUUAAGUGUGAAAAUCAGUAUGGAUUUCUGCCAUGUCACAUGAUUACCGUAGCCAAUCAGAUGUCAUGAUUGUGUUUCAAUGUUUUGCUGGUUUAAUGCAGUAAUAAAUAAUCUCACACUGAUUAUUUCUGUCACUUUAAAAGUAUUUAUAUUCAUCUUCAUUUAAGUUACCCAUUGAUACCCAGAUACAGCGAAUCUGUAGACCCCACUGUUUUUAAUCAACCUAACCCCGACCCAAUGCAGUCAGCGCUUCUUUCUAGUAUUUGUGUUAAUGUCUUUUCUUCAUAUUUCAUAUUGUCUUUGAUAUGAAGACUUUAUUGCACACUGUACAAUCGUGACUUUUCCUUUAAGAGGCAAAAAGUAUCUGUAUAAGGAAAAGUAUCAUAAGCUCAUGCUAUCGUAUUGAAAGAAAACAUGUUCUCAAAUGUUAUGUUGAGAAUAUUUUAUUAAUAAGUUUGCAAUAAAUCCAACUUUUUACAUC